rnacentral:rRNA from 1 species
GGGCCCGCACAAGCGGUGGAGCAUGUGGUUCAAUUCGACGCAACGCGAAGAACCUUACCCAGGCUCGAACGGCAUUGGACAUCCUGCGAAAGCAGGCUCCCGCAAGGGCCGAUGUCGAGGUGCUGCAUGGCUGUCGUCAGCUCGUGUCGUGAGAUGUUGGGUUAAGUCCCGCAACGAGCGCAACCCUUGUCCGCUGUUGCCAUCACGUUAUGGUGGGCACUCUGCGGAGACUGCCGGUGAUAAACCGGAGGAAGGUGGGGAUGACGUCAAGUCAGCAUGGCCUUUAUGUCUGGGGCUACACACGUGCUACAAUGGCCGGUACAAACCGUCGCAAAACCGCAAGGUCGAGCUAAUCGGAGAAAGCCGGUCUCAGUUCGGAUUGCAGGCUGCAACUCGCCUGCAUGAAGUUGGAAUCGCUAGUAAUCGCGGAUCAGCACGCCGCGGUGAAUACGUUCCCGGGCCUU